rnacentral:misc_RNA from 1 species
CGACAAUUCACUUGAUUCAAAGAACCCAUCAUCGGGAACCCAAGUUCUCCACACUGUAUCAUUAAAUGGCGUCACUUUUGGACCCCCGACAUUCACCCUAUACAAUGUUUCAAGAGCCUGCUUGGUUAAACCAUCAAAUUUCUCAGUUUUAUUGCCAUUCACAAGAAUUGCCAUAUCAGCAAUCAAAUCUUUAGGUGCAGACAUCACUUCAAUUGCAUUAACAAACCCAAA